CACGUAGGGUGCGAGCGUUGUCCGGAAUUAUUGGGCGUAAAGAGCUCGUAGGCGGUGUGUCGCGUCGGCCGUGAAAACCUGCAGCUUAACUGUGGGCUUGCGGUCGAUACGGGCAUCACUGGAGUUCGGCAGGGGAGACUGGAAUUCCUGGUGUAGCGGUGAAAUGCGCAGAUAUCGGGAGGAACACCGGUGGCGAAGGCGGUUCUCUGGGCCUUACCUGACGCUGAGGAGCGAAAGCAUGGGGAGCGAACAGG
rnacentral:rRNA from 1 species